GCCGAAAUAGCUCAGUUGGGAGAGCGUUAGACUGAAGAUCUAAAGGUCCCGUGUUCAAUCCACGGUUUCGGCA
rfam:Ramazzottius varieornatus DNA, contig: Scaffold110, strain: YOKOZTNA-1.